rnacentral:misc_RNA from 1 species
GAUGAAUAACGCAGCGAAAUGCGAUAAGUAGUGUGAAUUGCAGAAUUCAGUGAAUCAUCGAAUCUUUGAACGCACAUUGCGCCCCUUGGUAUUCCAUGGGGCAUGCCUGUUCGAGCGUCAUUUGUACCCUCAAGCUUUGCUUGGUGUUGGGUGUUUGUCCCGCGUUGCGCGUGGACUCGCCUUAAAGCGAUUGGCAGCCGGCAUAUUGGCCUUGGAGCGCAGCACAUUUUGCGCUUCUAGUCAUGAAUGUUGGCGUCCAUUAAGCCUAUACAUUUGCUCUUGACCUCGGAUCAGGUAGGGAUACCCGCUGAACUUAAGCAUAUCAAUAAGCGGAGGA